rnacentral:rRNA from 1 species
ACGGGGUGCAGCAGGCGCGAAAACUGACCAAUGCGCGAAAGCGUGAGUCGGUCAAUCCGAGUGUAGACCCAUCGGUUUACUUUUGUCAUGUGUACAACGCUUGGCGAAUAAUGUGAGGGCAAGACUGGUGCCAGCCGCCGCGGUAAAACCAGCUCAUAGAGUGGUGAUCAUGAUUAUUUGGCUUAAAGUGUGCGUAGCAGGGAAUUCUAAGUCCCCUGUGAAAUGUCAGGUCUUAAGCUUGACACGUGCAGAGGAUACUGGAAUCCUUGGGACUGGGAUAGGUGUAAUGUACGGUUUGGGUAGGGGUGAAAUCCGAUAAUCCAAGCCGGACAACCGGUGGCGAAGGCGUUACACUGGAACAGGUCCGACUGUGAGGCACGAAAGCUAGGGUCGCGAGCCGGAUUAGAUACCCGGGUAGUCCUAUGCUGUAAACGAUGCUCACUAAGUGUUAGGUAAUGCAAGACAUUCUCUAGUGCCGAAGCGAAAGCGUUAAGUGAGCCGCCUGGGAAGUACGUUCGCAAGAAUGAAACUUAAAGGAAUUGGCGGG